AUGAUUACAUGGGCUGAAAAAAGAACUUGAAAAUCAAAUAAGGUACUUAUGUAUUAUUCGGAUGAGGUUUGUUAUUUUAAAUAGUAACGUAUAAAUAAGUCUGAUGCAGGUGUGUGGACACUGUUAAUGAAAUAGAAAGGCAGUCCUGCACACUGUCACAGCCUGGAAAUCGUCACCAGACAUUGGAUAUUUUAAUAGCAUCAUACAAUAAACCAGUAUUUCAGGAUAAACUGAGAGAUCUGUGAUCAGUCAUGCACAUAAAGAUGUUUUUGUUUUAUCAGUUACUGACAUCUGUGUGUGUCGGUAGAGGGAUGGACUCUGGAAACAGUCUUGAACACAAAAAUGAAAAGGUACAAGUCAGAAGAUCACUUGCAGAGGUCUGACACACACUGAAUCUGUAGGAUGGCUCCUGCUGCUUUACUCAUCGGCUGUCUGCUUGCCACAAUCAGCUGCUUAACCACAGGUCAAACUACCACAUCAAUUAAUGCUGUUCCUGCAUCACCUAAUGCAACUGACAUGUCGGACAAUGCAACUAAUGUAUUGCCUGACGCAACUAGUGCAACUACCAUUUUGCCCAACGGGGGUAACACAUCACCUAGCACCACCAUGGCACCCAACUCAACCAACACGGUGCCCAGUGUAACCAACACGCCGCCCAACAUGCCGCCAAAUGCAACCAACAUGGCAACCAACACAGACACCAUGGCGCCAACGCAACAACGCAACAAUGCAACCAACACACCACCAAAUGCAACCAACACACCACCAAAUGCAACCAACACGCCGCCCAACGCAACCAACACACCACCAAAUGCAACCAACACACCACCAAAUGCAACCAACACGCCACCAAAUGCAACCAACACGCCGCCCAACGCAACCAACACGGCGCCAAAUGCAACUAGCGCAUUACCUAAUGCGACUACAACAAAUGCAACAACUCCUCAGGCUUCAUUGUAUGGAAGUUGUGCGAGUCCAGAUCUGUGCUGCUCUGGAGUGAAUAGCAGCUGUCGUCGCAAAAAUUGUUAUUGUGAUGUUGCUUGUCUGAGAUUACGUGACUGCUGCCCUGAUUUUAAACCCACCUGCCUCACAGUGAAAAACAGCACAAACAGCAGCAACACUUUGCCACUAACAGGAACAUGUUCAGAUCCGACUAUGUGCUGCAGUGGCACAAACUACAACUGUUUCAGAGGAUGUUUCUGUGAUGAGUCCUGCAAAAUGCUCAACGACUGCUGUCCCGACCUCAACAGAACCUGCAAUUUCAUCCCUACUACACCUCCACCCUUCAACUCCUCUACAACUCCACCCAUCAACUCCACUACACCUCCACCCUUCACCUCCACUAAAGCUCCACCCUUCAACUCCACUACAGCUCCGACCUUCAACUCCACUACAGCUCCACCCUUCACCUCCACUAAAGCUCCACCCAAAGAUGUUCUGACGAUCCUCACUAAUCUGGAGGUGGAGGUUUUGGCCGAGGAGUCGUCCACUGAAGAAGAGCGUCGAGCUGCACUGCUUCAGGUCGCCACUUUUGUGGAGAAUUACUUAAGAGGGAAUUAUAAUGACAUCAGCUCUUUUGAGGUCACAAGAAUUGAGUCACUAUCACCGUGUGAUUGAGACAGAAAUCAGCCAAGAGGAACAGAUGUGUAUUAACUCUCAUCGCUACUAAUUUGUACUAUUUUAAUAUGAGAUCUGGUUAUUUAUGGUCAUGGUUCAACAAAAACACUGCAAUUACUGAUACAUACAAUGCUUAUAUAUUUAAUUGAAACGUUUGAUUUUUAAACUUUAAUAAUUGAUGCAAACUAUGAGAUUUGAGUUUGUUUUUUGGGUGGAGAUUCUUGUCUAUGCUGAAUAUUUGUUUUAAUAUGUCUGGAUUCCUAAAUGUUUACCAUGCAAUUCAUGAAAUAAAUAUACAUAAUUGGACUUUACUACAAUGUGUGGGGUGUUCAGUUCAUCGUGAAGCUCUAUGCUGUGAGGUUUGGAUGCAAACCUCCAAGAACUGUGUAUAGUUGUGUGUGUGUGUGUGUGUGUGUGUGUGAGUGAGAGAGAGAGAGAGAGAAAGAGAGAGUGUAUGCAAAAGGUUCCCUAAAGCACUUAGUUUUCUCGAUUUAGAGGCAUUUGACCACAAAUGGAGAGGUGCCAGAAAGAAGAACUGCUAUCAAGCCUUUCAGAGGAACAGAGUGUGAUGACAUGAGACAGAACAGCACAACCUGUUGAUGGCAGUGUGAACAUACUGAAAGACCACAUGAUCUACAAACAUUCCUAAAUGCAAAUAGGAAUGUACAAACACGUUUAAAAAAAAAAACUAUAAUCUGAUAAAAAAAAAUGCAUUUCCUUCAUGCUUUUGGUAGUUAUCUGUCUCUGACAGCAUUGCGUUCCAUCAGGCGGCUGGACAGACACAUGAUGGGUUAUCAGGAAACGAUCCAGACCAUUAAAUAAGGAGCCACAGAGAAGCUGAAGUCAGAAGAUCACAGGCACACACUGAAUCUAUAGGAUGGCUCCCGCUGUUCUUCUGAUCGGCUGUCUGCUCGCUACCAUCAGCUGCUUGACCACGGGUAACAUCCACAUCAGCUGCACUCUAAUCUGUGUCAGCUUUGAAUAAAGCUUUCAACACAAAAUUAGAUCCACUGAUUUCCUUGAUUUUAACUUCUUUUGAGAGAGUUUAAGAACCAUCAGGAAUGAUCAUUCAGUGCUACAGAGGUUUCAGAAACAUGGAAUAAUUACUACAUCAUUUAUGUUUCAUUGUAUGGCUGAAACCACAUCAAUAAAUGCUACUGCUGCACAACCAAUAUUGCUACGCAAGAUUCUCUGAUUGUCUUUCAUUCCACAGCUCAAUCUACCACAGUAUCGCCUACACCAGCACCAACUACUUCUACUACAACUACUACGCUACCUACACCAGAAUCAACUACAACUACAACACCACCUACACCACUGACUACCAGCACUACAACUACAGACAGUCCACCAACAUGUGAGACAAAAUACUGAAUAUCCAAAUGUAAUACUGCAGUAGUAAAAAAACAUCCAUGCACAGAAAUAUUUGCUUAUUCUUGUUGUGUUAAACCAUGUCUUGCUCAGACAUCCCAGAAACCACACAGUCUGGAGUGACAAGUGUGAUAAAUACAACAACAACGACGCCUCAACCUCCCGUGUGUUAGUGGUUUAUGUGUGAUUUAUUGACUGUACCAAUUAAAUACAUUGUUUUUAUUAAAUUACAUGAACUGAUGUGUUUGAUGUAUCUGUCACAGAUGGAAGUUGUGCGAGUCCAGAUCUGUGCUGCUCUGGAUUGAACAACAGCUGUCAUCGCCUGAAUUGUUUUUGUGAUGUUGCUUGUCUGAGAUUACAUGACUGCUGCCCUGAUUUCAAACCCACCUGCCUCACAGGUAUUCAGAAAUAUUCAAACUGAAUGAGGAAAACUGAUUCAUCUGAGCUGAAAUCAAUUACAUUCUAAUUUAUGAAAACGUAAUAAUAUUCCUUAUUUGCACCUCUGUCCCAUUUUCAGACAAUAACAACACCAACGACACAAAACCAGAC
ensembl:lncRNA